rnacentral:rRNA from 1 species
GGGUUGUGAGGUUAAGCGACUAAGCGUACACGGUGGAUGCCCUGGCAGUCAGAGGCGAUGAAGGGCGUGCUAAUCUGCGAUAAGCGCCGGUAAGGUGAUAUGAACCGUUAUAACCGGCGAUACCCGAAUGGGGAAACCCAGUGUGAUUCGUCACACUAUCAUUAACUGAAUCCAUAGGUUAAUGAGGCGAACCGGGGGAACUGAAACAUCUAAGUACCCCGAGGAAAAGAAAUCAACCGAGAUUCCCCCAGUAGCGGCGAGCGAACGGGGAGGAGCCCAGAGCCUGAAUCAGCAUGUGUGUUAGUGGAAGCGUCUGGAAAGGCGCGCGAUACAGGGUGACAGCCCCGUACACAAAAGCGCAUGUGCUGUGAGCUCGAUGAGUAGGGCGGGACACGUGGUAUCCUGUCUGAAUAUGGGGGGACCAUCCUCCAAGGCUAAAUACUCCUGACUGACCGAUAGUGAACCAGUACCGUGAGGGAAAGGCGAAAAGAACCCCGGCGAGGGGAGUGAAAAAGAACCUGAAACCGUGUACGUACAAGCAGUGGGAGCCCCACCACUAAGCCAGUGGUGAACUCCACAUACGCAUCCUUUGCUGAGGAUACGGUUAACGGAGCGAAAGCGACGUUCAACCGCAAAACAAGCAGAGGGGGCUUAGUGGUGGGGUGACUGCGUACCUUUUGUAUAAUGGGUCAGCGACUUAUAUUCUGUAGCAAGGUUAACCGAAUAGGGGAGCCGGAGGGAAACCGAGUCUUAAUUGGGCGUUAAGUUGCAGGGUAUAGACCCGAAACCCGGUGAUCUAGCCAUGGGCAGGUUGAAGGUUGGGUAACACUAACUGGAGGACCGAACCGACUAAUGUUGAAAAAUUAGCGGAUGACCUGUGGCUGGGGGUGAAAGGCCAAUCAAACCGGGAGAUAGCUGGUUCUCCCCGAAAGCUAUUUAGGUAGCGCCUCGUGAACUCAUCUUCGGGGGUAGAGCACUGUUUCGGCUAGGGGGUCAUCCCGACUUACCAACCCGAUGCAAACUGCGAAUACCGGAGAAUGUUAUCACGGGAGACACACGGCGGGUGCUAACGUCCGUCGUGAAGAGGGAAACAACCCAGACCGCCAGCUAAGGUCCCAAAGUCAUGGUUAAGUGGGAAACGAUGUGGGAAGGCCCAGACAGCCAGGAUGUUGGCUUAGAAGCAGCCAUCAUUUAAAGAAAGCGUAAUAGCUCACUGGUCGAGUCGGCCUGCGCGGAAGAUGUAACGGGGCUAAACCAUGCACCGAAGCUGCGGCAGCGACGCUGAUGCGUUGUUGGGUAGGGGAGCGUUCUGUAAGCCUGUGAAGGUGUGUCGUGAGGC